CAGUAGCCGCGGUAAUACGGAGGGUGCAAGCGUUAAUCGGAAUUACUGGGCGUAAAGCGUGCGUAGGCGGUUCGUUAAGUCUGUUGUGAAAGCCCCGGGCUCAACCUGGGAAUGGCAAUGGAUACUGGCGAGCUAGAGUGUGUCAGAGGAUGGUGGAAUUCCCGGUGUAGCGGUGAAAUGCGUAGAGAUCGGGAGGAACAUCAGUGGCGAAGGCGGCCAUCUGGGACAACACUGACGCUGAGGCACGAAAGCGUGGGGAGCAAACAGGAUUAGAUACCCCCGUAGUCUCUGUCUCUUAUAC
rnacentral:rRNA from 1 species